rnacentral:rRNA from 1 species
GACAGAGGAUGCAAGCGUUAUCCGGAAUGAUUGGGCGUAAAGCGUCUGUAGGUGGCUUUUUAAGUCCGCCGUCAAAUCCCAGGGCUCAACCCUGGACAGGCGGUGGAAACUACCAAGCUGGAGUACGGUAGGGGCAGAGGGAAUUUCCGGUGGAGCGGUGAAAUGCAUAGAUAUCGGGAAGAACACCAACGGCGAAAGCAACUCCGCUGGGCUGAUACUGACACUGACAGACGAAAGCUAGGGUAGCGAAAGG